rnacentral:rRNA from 1 species
GACAGAGGGUGCAAACGUUGUUCGGAAUUACUGGGCGUAAAGCGUGCGCAGGCGGUUUUGUAAGACUGUCGUGAAAUCCCCGGGCUCAACCUGGGAAUGGCGAUGGUGACUGCAAGGCUAGAGUUUGGCAGAGGGGGGUAGAAUUCCACGUGUAGCAGUGAAAUGCGUAGAGAUGCGGAGGAACACCGAUGGCGAAGGCAGCCCCCUGGGUCAAGAUUGACGCUCAUGCACGAAAGCGUGGGGAGCAAACAGG